rnacentral:rRNA from 2 species
AGCCCAGCACCGAAUCCUUCACCAUUUUGGGUGACAGGAAAUGUGGUGUUUAGGCCGUACCUUGUCCCGACACGUCUCUCCUCAAGUCCACUUGAUUGUGGCCCCAGGCCCAGAGAGGGUGUAAGGCCCGUGGAGGCGAGAUGUUCGGUACCUGGUGCGUCCUUAGAGUCGGGUUGUUUGGGAAUGCAGCCCUAAGCGGGUGGUAAACUCCAUCCAAGGCUAAAUACUAGCACGAGUCCGAUAGCGAAGAAGUACCGCGAGGGAAGGUUGAAAAGAACUUUGAAGAGAGAGUUCAAGAGUACGUGAAACCGCUGAGAGGCAAACUGGUGGAACUGAAAUGGUCCCGAGGAAUUCAGCCGUUGGAGGUUGCACAGUCGGUGGUGAUUGAUUUAACGACAGCGCCAUCGGAUGACGUUUCCAUCAUCGGUGCACUUUCCUCGUUUGGGCCCGACCACGACCGGUGAGUUGAUCUGUCUGUCGUGCUUGGAAGAUAGCGCCAUCUUCGGAAGGCGUGUUAUAGACUUGCAUACGGUACAGUCGACGCACUGGAUGAAAAUGCCUGCCCAUUUGGGCUCAUAUGGCGGCUGUUUUAUCGUCGAGUGCCGAUGUCACUACUUCGGUAGAGUCGUUGGCCUCUGAUGGCAUUAUGGUUGUCCUCUAUGAUUGGCAUUGUUAAGUCUGUGGUUGUGAAGUAGGUAGUCCACCUGACCCGUCUUGAAACACGGACCAAGGAGUCUAACAUGUGCGCGAGUCAUUGGGUUCACGAAACCUAAAGGCGCAGUGAAGGUAAAGAUCUGUUUUGGCAGAUUGAGGUGGGAUGCUGGGUUACGCGCCCAGCCGCACUACCGGCCCGUUCUAUAUGUAUCUCAUAGGAGCGGAGCAAGAGCGUACACGUUGGGACCCGAAAGAUGGUGAACUAUGCUUGCGCAGGUCGAAGCCAGA